AGUCCGGGUGAGGAGGUCCCAUCUGGUGUGCUAGCCGUGAUCCUGUCUCAGCUCUGCCUUAUAACUUCCUGUUUCCUGUCUGUAUAGUUCUCCUGAGACACCCAUUUACAGGGGUAAUGGCUGUCUGCUGGCAGAAGAGUCAAAAAUCCAGGGUUCAGUUCAUGAAACUGGAAGUGUCAGCGCUCUGUCUGGAGCUGGUACCUUGGAGGACUAGAGAGCUGCUGGUCUGUGGUCCACACAGAAUCGAGAGGAAGUUCUAACGCCAGUGAAGGAAUGCCUCUGCAGCAGGGGACAUGAACUCGCCAGUGAGAGUGAGGACAAGCAGGCAAAGAGCAAGAGCUUCCUUCUUCUGUGGCCUUUUAUGUGACUGCCAGCAGAAGGCGUGGCCCCGAUGUGGAAUGGGUCUUCCCACUUCAAAUGAUCCAGUCAAAAAGAUCUCUCACAGGCGUGCCCAGAUGCUGGGUUUUAGUUGAUUCCAGAUGUUGUCAAGUUGACAACCAAGAUUAGCAUCACACUCAUCCUCUGGUAGAUAUAUAUUGUGAAUUUUUGUCCUGGAUGGAGCUUGCCUUAUCUCCUCCUCUUCAAAUUCCUCCUCUUCUAUUUCUGUUUGUUUGUGUUUAAAUCGGCCUUGCCUAAAGCAGAAGUUUCUAUUAAAAAAUCAUUGCAUCUUUGUU
rnacentral:lncRNA from 1 species